rnacentral:rRNA from 1 species
UAAAGUGGCGAACGGCUGAGUAACACGUGGGCAACCUGCCCUUUGCACUGGGAUAGCCUCGGGAAACCGAGGUUAAUACCGGAUACUCCAUAUUUGUCGCAUGGCGAAUAUGGGAAAGCUCCGGCGGCAAAGGAUGGGCCCGCGGCCUGUUAGCUAGUUGGUGGGGUAGUGGCCUACCAAGGCAAUGAUGGGUAGCCGGGUUGAGAGACUGAUCGGCCACAUUGGGACUGAGACACGGGCCCAAACUCCUACGGGAGGCAGCAGAC